rnacentral:rRNA from 1 species
AAGAGGUCCAGCCUGCCCAGUGACUCUGUUUAACGGCCGCGGUAUCCUAACCGUGCGAAGGUAGCGUAAUCACUUGCCCCUUAAAUCGGGGCUAGUAUGAACGGCAUCACGAAGGUUACACUGUCUCCUUUUUCUAAUCAGUGAAUCUGAUCUCUCCGUGAAGAAGCGGGGAUAAAGUUAUAAGACGAGAAGACCCUAUGGAGCUUUAAACCAAGUAGCAGUUGCUUAUAUUUUUCAUAUUUCAGAAUCCUAACAUUUAUUCUAGCUAAAUGCCCACUGGUUUUAGGUCGGGGCGACCGCGGAGUAAAAAAUAACCUCCACAUUGAACGGAACCAGUUCCUGAGCCUCGGGUCACAACCCUAAGCACCAAUAAAUUGACAUUAAUUGACCCAAUGUUUGAUCAACGAACCAAGUUACCCUAGGGAUAACAGCGCAAUCCACUUCAAGAGCUCCUAUCGACAAGCGGGUUUACGACCUCGAUGUUGGAUCAGGGUGUCCCAGUGGUGCAGCCGCUACUAAAGGUUCGUUUGUUCAACGAUUAAAACCCU